rnacentral:rRNA from 1 species
GUCUACAGCCAUGCCGCCCUGAACAAGCCCGAUGUCUGAUCUCGGAAGCUAAGCAGGGUUGGGCCUGGUUAGUACUUAGAUGGGAGACCAUGUAGGAAGACCAUAAGAUGCUGUAGGCA